AUGGAAGAAGACUAUGCAUCUUCUUCGGCCGGUGGUGGUGGCGGCAAACAAUCCGCAGCCAAAAAAGUCGGUAAAAUGCACAAUACCUUACCCUUGUGGGGUAAUGAAUCGACCAUGAAUUUAAAUCCCCUUAUCUUGGCCAAUAUACAAAGUUCUAGUUACUUUAAAGUACAUUUGUUCAAAUUGAAAACCUAUCACGAGGUGGUGGAUGAGAUAUAUUAUCAAGUUAAACAUAUGGAACCAUGGGAGCGUGGUUCACGUAAAACCAGCGGCCAAACUGGCAUGUGUGGCGGAGUUAGAGGAGUAGGUGCUGGAGGCAUUGUAUCCACAGCCUAUUGUUUGUUAUAUAAAUUAUAUACGUUGCGUUUGACCCGUAAACAGGUUAAUGGCUUGAUCACACACACAGAUUCCCCCUAUAUCAGGGCAUUAGGUAGGUGGUUUUAUGUAUUUGCGUUACACCCAACCGCCGGGUGAUUUAUAUGAUUGGUAUGAAGACUAUCUGCAAGAUGAGGAAGAAAUUGAUGUUAAAGCCGGUGGCGGCCAGGUGAGUCGACAGUGAUUACAAUCGGCCAAAUGGUCUAUCAAUUUCUAACCAAAUUGGAUUGGUUUUCAACACUGUUUCCUCGUAUACCUGUGCCGAUACAAAAACAAAUUGAAAAGAAACUUGAACAAUAUUGUCGUGAAAAUGG